GAAAGGCGCUUUUGCGUCACUGAUGGAUGGACCCGCGGUGCAUUAGCUAGUUGGUGAGGUAACGGCUCACCAAGGCCACGAUGCAUGGCCGACCUGAGAGGGUGAUCGGCCACACUGGGACUGAGACACGGCCCAGACUCCUACGGGAGGCAGCAGUAGGGAAUCUUCGGCAAUGGACGAAAGUCUGACCGAGCAACGCCGCGUGAGUGAAGAAGGUUUUCGGAUCGUAAAACUCUGUUGUUAGAGAAGAACAAGGAUGAGAGUAGAACGUUCAUCCCUUGACGGUAUCUAACCAGAAAGCCACGGCUAACUACGUGCCAGCAGCCGCGGUAAUACGUAGGUGGCAAGCGUUGUCCGGAUUUAUUGGGCGUAAAGCGAGCGCAGGCGGUUUCUUAAGUCUGAUGUGAAAGCCCCCGGCUCAACCGGGGAAGGUCAUUGGAAACUGGGAGACUUGAGUGCAGAAGAGGAGAGUGGAAUUCCAUGUGUAGCGGUGAAAUGCGUAGAUAUAUGGAGGAACACCAGUGGCGAAGGCGGCUCUCUGGUCUGUAACUGACGCUGAGGCUCGAAAGCGUGGGGAGCGAACAGGAUUAGAUACCCUGGUAGUCCACGCCGUAAACGAUGAGUGCUAAGUGUUGGAGGGUUUCCGCCCUUCA
rnacentral:rRNA from 1 species